rnacentral:rRNA from 1 species
AUUGAACGCUGGCGGCAUGCUUUACACAUGCAAGUCGGACGAGUGGCGAACGGGUGAGUAACGCAUCGGAACGUACCGAGUAAUGGGGGAUAACUGUCCGAAAGGACAGCUAAUACCGCAUAUUAUUCGAGCGGCCGAUGUCUGAUUAGCUGGGUGGCGGGGUAAAGGCCCACCAAGGCGACGAUCAGUAGCGGGUCUGGGAGGAUGAUCCGCCAGACGGAGACUGAGACACGGCCCAGACUACUACGGGAGGCGACGGUGGGGAAUUUUGGACAAGGGGCGCAGGCCUAGUCGAGCCAUGCCGCGUGUCUGAAGGAGGCCUUCGGGUUGUAGAGGGCUUAUGUCAGGGGAGCGGUACCUGAAGAAUAAGCACCGGCUAACUACGUGCCAGCCGCCGCGGUAAUAC